UACGUAGGGUGCGAGCGUUAAUCGAAAUUACUGGGCGUAAAGCGUGCGCAGGCGGUUUUGUAAGCCAGAUGUGAAAUCCCCGGGCUUAACCUGGGAAUGGCAUUUGGGACUGCAAGGCUCGAGUGCGGCAGAGGAGACUGGAAUUCCUGGUGUAGCAGUGAAAUGCGUAGAUAUCAGGAGGAACACCGAUGGCGAAGGCAGGUCUCUGGGCUGACACUGACGCUCAUGCACGAAAGCGUGGGGAGCAAACAGG
rnacentral:rRNA from 1 species